ACCACUAUUGAUCAUAGUGCCUGGAAUGGCUUAUGGUCCAAACAGUUUACUGCCAUGGGAUGGGACUGCCGCCUAUCAGCUUGUUGGUGAGGUAAUGGCCCACCAAGGCGAUUACAGGUACGGGCUCUGAGAGGAGUAGCCCGGAGAUGGGUACUGAGACACGGACCCAGGCCCUAUGGGGCGCAGCAGGCGAGAAACCUUAGCAAUGUGCGAAAGCACGACUGGGUCAGUCCGAGUGAUUCCUGAUAAAGGAGUCUUUUGCCUGUCCUAAAAGCACAGGUGAAUAAGGGGUGGGCAAGUCUGGUGUCAGCCGCCGCGGUAAUACCAGCACCUCGAGUGGUCAGGACGUUUAUUGGGCCUAAAGCAUCCGCAGCCGGCUUUGCAAGUCUUCGGUUAAAUCCACCUGCUCAACAGAUGGGCCGCUGGAGAUACUACAGAGCUAGGGAGUGGGAGAGGCAGACGGUAUUCAGUGGGUAGGGGUAAAAUCCUCUGAUCCAUUGAGGACCACCAGUGGCGAAGGCGGUCUGCCAGAACACGUUCGACGGUGAGGGAUGAAAGCUGGGGGAGCAAACCGGAUUAGAUACCCGGGUAGUCCCAGCUGUAAACGAUGCAAACUCGGUGAUGCAUUGGCUUAUGGCCAAUGCAGUGCCGCACGGAAGCCGUUACGUUUGCCGCCUGGGAAGUACGGACGCACGUCUGACACUCUAAGGAGUUGGCGGCGGAGCAC
rnacentral:rRNA from 1 species